rnacentral:rRNA from 1 species
AUUGAACGCUGGCGGCAUGCCUUACACAUGCAAGUCGAACGGCAGCGCGGGAGCAAUCCUGGCGGCGAGUGGCGAACGGGUGAGUAAUAUACCGGAACGUGCCCAGUAGUGGGGGAUAGCCCGGCGAAAGCCGGCUUAAUACCGCAUACGACCUACGGGUGAAAGGGGGGGAUCGCAAGACCUCUCGCUAUUGGAGCGGCCGCAAUCAGAUUAGGAAGUUGGUGGGGGAAAGGCCUACCAAGCCUGCGAUCUGUAGUUGGUCUGAGAGGACGACCAGCCACACUGGGACUGAGACACGGCCCAGACUCCUACGGGAGGCAGCAGUGGGGAAUUUUGGACAAUGGGCGCAAGCCUGAUCCAGCAAUGCCGCGUGCAGGAAGAAGGCCUUCGGGUUGUAAACUGCUUUUGUCAGGGAAGAAAUCCUCUAGGCUAAUACCUUGGGGGGAUGACGGUACCUGAAGAAUAAGCACCGGCUAACUACGUGCCAGCAGCCGCCGCCGUAA